AGCUUUAGAGUUCUCAUUUCUUCUCAUCUUCUACAUAGUCUGCAACAAAACCCCAAUAUAUAUUUUGGGAUCGGAGAACUUUCACCGGCGGCCACCGUGCCGAAACCGUUGCAACCGCGCCGGUGACCACCACUUAAUUUUUGCAAAAACUCAACAAUUUAUGAACCAGAAGUGUACAAUUACUCCAUUCUUCCCUUCUUCUAUUCUUCACACAUGACAGACCGUGAACAGCAGAACUUGAUCAUAGAGAAAGAAAGUUGUUAUUUUUGGGUCAUUCACACAUGACAUAUAUGAGAAGAAGAUGAAGAUGGAGUUUUGUAUUUUAUUAUUUCUGGGUUUUUUUAUUUUUUAGAUUAAUGAAUUGGAAGUGUGAAGAGACAUUGAUGAAAAUUUUGAUGUUAAGUUUGUUGUUGUUAUUGUUGCUGCUGUUUUUAGAAUUUAUUGUUGUGGAAAUUGAGUUUGAGAUGUUUGUGGUUGUUGUUUUUGAUGGUAAUGAAGAAAUUGUUGUUGUUUCUGUCAAUGGAAAUAGAUUCAUGGAGAAAGAAAUUGUUGAUGG
rnacentral:lncRNA from 1 species